rnacentral:rRNA from 1 species
UACAGAGGGUGCGAGCGUUGUCCGGAAUUAUUGGGCGUAAAGAGCUCGUAGGCGGUUUGUCGCGUCUGCUGUGAAAACCCGAGGCUCAACCUCGGGCCUGCAGUGGGUACGGGCAGACUAGAGUGCGGUAGGGGAGAUUGGAAUUCCUGGUGUAGCGGUGGAAUGCGCAGAUAUCAGGAGGAACACCAAUGGCGAAGGCAGAUCUCUGGGCCGUAACUGACGCUGAGGAGCGAAAGCAUGGGGAGCGAACAGG